GGGUUGUGAGGUUAAGCGACUAAGCGUACACGGUGGAUGCCCUGGCAGUCAGAGGCGAUGAAGGACGUGCUAAUCUGCGAAAAGCGUCGGUAAGGUGAUAUGAACCGUUAUAACCGGCGAUGUCCGAAUGGGGAAACCCAGUGCAAUUCGUUGCACUAUCGUUAACUGAAUACAUAGGUUAACGAGGCGAACCGGGGGAACUGAAACAUCUAAGUACCCCGAGGAAAAGAAAUCAACCGAGAUUCCCCCAGUAGCGGCGAGCGAACGGGGAGCAGCCCAGAGUCUGAAUCAGCUUGUGUGUUAGUGGAACGGUCUGGAAAGUCCGACGGUACAGGGUGAUAGUCCCGUACACCAAAAUGCACAGGUUGUGAACUCGAAGAGUAGGGCGGGACACGUGGUAUCCUGUCUGAAUAUGGGGGGACCAUCCUCCAAGGCUAAAUACUCCUGACUGACCGAUAGUGAACCAGUACCGUGAGGGAAAGGCGAAAAGAACCCCGGCGAGGGGAGUGAAAAAGAACCUGAAACCGUGUACGUACAAGCAGUGGGAGCACCUUCGGGUGUGACUGCGUACCUUUUGUAUAAUGGGUCAGCGACUUAUAUUCUGUAGCAAGGUUAACCGUAUAGGGGAGCCGCAGGGAAACCGAGUCUUAACUGGGCGUUAAGUUGCAGGGUAUAGACCCGAAACCCGGUGAUCUAGCCAUGGGCAGGUUGAAGGUUGGGUAACACUAACUGGAGGACCGAACCGACUAAUGUUGAAAAAUUAGCGGAUGACUUGUGGCUGGGGGUGAAAGGCCAAUCAAACCGGGAGAUAGCUGGUUCUCCCCGAAAGCUAUUUAGGUAGCGCCUCGUGAAUUCAUCUUCGGGGGUAGAGCACUGUUUCGGCUAGGGGGUCAUCCCGACUUACCAACCCGAUGCAAACUACGAAUACCGAAGAAUGUUAUCACGGGAGACACACGGCGGGUGCUAACGUCCGUCGUGAAGAGGGAAACAACCCAGACCGCCAGCUAAGGUCCCAAAGUCAUGGUUAAGUGGGAAACGAUGUGGGAAGGCACAGACAGCCAGGAUGUUGGCUUAGAAGCAGCCAUCAUUUAAAGAAAGCGUAAUAGCUCACUGGUCGAGUCGGCCUGCGCGGAAGAUGUAACGGGGCUAAACCAUGCACCGAAGCUGCGGCAGCGACACUAUGUGUUGUUGGGUAGGGGAGCGUUCUGUAAGCCUGCGAAGGUGUGCUGUGAGGCAUGCUGGAGGUAUCAGAAGUGCGAAUGCUGACAUAAGUAACGAUAAAGCGGGUGAAAAGCCCGCUCGCCGGAAGACCAAGGGUUCCUGUCCAACGUUAAUCGGGGCAGGGUGAGUCGACCCCUAAGGCGAGGCCGAAAGGCGUAGUCGAUGGGAAACAGGUUAAUAUUCCUGUACUUGGUGUUACUGCGAAGGGGGGACGGAGAAGGCUAUGUUAGCCGGGCGACGGUUGUCCCGGUUUAAGCAUGUAGGCUGAUUGUCCAGGCAAAUCCGGAUAAUCAAGGCUGAGGUGUGAUGACGAGGCACUACGGUGCUGAAGUAACAAAUGCCCUGCUUCCAGGAAAAGCCUCUAAGCAUCAGGUAACAUCAAAUCGUACCCCAAACCGACACAGGUGGUCAGGUAGAGAAUACCAAGGCGCUUGAGAGAACUCGGGUGAAGGAACUAGGCAAAAUGGUGCCGUAACUUCGGGAGAAGGCACGCUGGUGUGUAGGUGAAGUCCCUGCGGAUGGAGCUGAGACCAGUCGAAGAUACCAGCUGGCUGCAACUGUUUAUUAAAAACACAGCACUGUGCAAACACGAAAGUGGACGUAUACGGUGUGACGCCUGCCCGGUGCCGGAAGGUUAAUUGAUGGGGUUAUCCGUAAGGAGAAGCUCUUGAUCGAAGCCCCGGUAAACGGCGGCCGUAACUAUAACGGUCCUAAGGUAGCGAAAUUCCUUGUCGGGUAAGUUCCGACCUGCACGAAUGGCGUAAUGAUGGCCAGGCUGUCUCCACCCGAGACUCAGUGAAAUUGAACUCGCUGUGAAGAUGCAGUGUACCCGCGGCAAGACGGAAAGACCCCGUGAACCUUUACUAUAGCUUGACACUGAACAUUGAGCCUUGAUGUGUAGGAUAGGUGGGAGGCUUUGAAGCGUGGACGCCAGUCUGCGUGGAGCCAACCUUGAAAUACCACCCUUUAAUGUUUGAUGUUCUAACGUUGGCCCCUGACCGGGGUUGCGGACAGUGUCUGGUGGGUAGUUUGACUGGGGCGGUCUCCUCCCAAAGCGUAACGGAGGAGCACGAAGGUUAGCUAAUCCUGGUCGGACAUCAGGAGGUUAGUGCAAUGGCAUAAGCUAGCUUGACUGCGAGCGUGACGGCGCGAGCAGGUGCGAAAGCAGGUCAUAGUGAUCCGGUGGUUCUGAAUGGAAGGGCCAUCGCUCAACGGAUAAAAGGUACUCCGGGGAUAACAGGCUGAUACCGCCCAAGAGUUCAUAUCGACGGCGGUGUUUGGCACCUCGAUGUCGGCUCAUCACAUCCUGGGGCUGAAGUAGGUCCCAAGGGUAUGGCUGUUCGCCAUUUAAAGUGGUACGCGAGCUGGGUUUAGAACGUCGUGAGACAGUUCGGUCCCUAUCUGCCGUGGGCGCUGGAGAAUUGAGGGGGGCUGCUCCUAGUACGAGAGGACCGGAGUGGACGCAUCACUGGUGUUCGGGUUGUCAUGCCAAUGGCACUGCCCGGUAGCUAAAUGCGGAAGAGAUAAGUGCUGAAAGCAUCUAAGCACGAAACUUGCCCCGAGAUGAGUUCUCCCUGAGACUUUAAGUCUCCUGAAGGAACGUUAAAGACGAUGACGUUGAUAGGCCGGGUGUGUAAGCGCAGCGAUGCGUUGAGCUAACCGGUACUAAUGAACCGUGAGGCUUAACCUUACAACGCCGAAG
rnacentral:rRNA from 2 species